AUUGAACGCUGGCGGCAGGCCUAACACAUGCGAGUCGAACGGUAACAGGAAGAAGCUUGCUUCUUUGCUGACGAGUGGCGGACGGGUGAGUAAUGUCUGGGAAACUGCCUGAUGGAGGGGGAUAACUACUGGAAACGGUAGCUAAUACCGCAUAAUGUCGCAAGACCAAAGAGGGGGACCUUCGGGCCUCUUGCCAUCGGAUGUGCCCAGAUGGGAUUAGCUAGUAGGUGGGGUAACGGCUCACCUAGGCGACGAUCCCUAGCUGGUCUGAGAGGAUGACCAGCCACACGGGAACUGAGACACGGUCCAGACUACUAAGGGAGGCCGCAGUGGGGAAUAUUGGACAAUGGGCGCAAGCCUGAUGCAGCUAUGCCGCGUGUAUGAAGAAGGCCUUCGGGUUGUAAAGUACUUUCAGCGGGGAGGAAGGGAGUAAAGUUAAUACCUUUGCUCAUUGACGUUACCCGCAGAAGAAGCACCGGCUAACUCCGUG
rnacentral:rRNA from 1 species